rnacentral:tRNA from 1 species
AGGGGUAUAGCUCAGUGGUAGAGUGCAUGCUCAGUAUGCGUGAUAUCCUGGGUUCACUCCCUAGUACCUCCA